GACGAACGCUGGCGGCGGGCUUAACACAUGCAAGUCGAACGAAGGGGCGAACGGGUGAGUAAUACGUGGGUAACCUGCCCUCCUUUUUGGGAUAAGCCUUGGAAACGGGGUCUAAUACCGAAUAAAGGGGGAGUGGCUCGCGGCCGAUCAGCUGGUUGGGGGGGGGAUAGCCUACCAGGGCGGUGUCGGGUAGCCGGCCUGAGAGGGUGACCGGCCACGUUGGGACGGAGAGACGCCCCAGAGUCCUACGGGAGGCAGCAGUGGGGGAUAUUGCAAAAUCGACGAAAGCCUGAGCCAGGGAUGCCGCGUGGGGGUUGAAGGCUUUCGGCUUGUUAACCUCUUUGGAUAUCGAGUGGGUAGGUGGAGAAGAAGCGCCGGCUAACUUCGUGCCAGCAGCCGCGGUAAUAC
rnacentral:rRNA from 1 species